GAAAGCCCUAUGAUGGGAAACUACCACGUUAAGUUUGGAGAGAGAUAGGACCGGUUAUAUAAUAGGGGGAGCAGAUGCAAGCUUUUUCUUUCAAUAGCCGGCCAAAUGACUACAGGAUCAUUGGUCUACUCUAC
rfam:Helianthus annuus linkage group 17, whole genome shotgun sequence.